GCGAUCAUACCAGACACUAAUGCACCGGAUCCCAUCGAACUCCGAGUUAAGCGUGCUUGGGCGAGAGCAGUACUAGGAUGGGUGAAGUCCUCGUGUUGCACCU
rnacentral:rRNA from 1 species